rnacentral:rRNA from 1 species
GUGUCAGCCGCCGCGGUAAUACGUAGGGUGCGAGCGUUAAUCGGAAUUACUGGGCGUAAAGCGUGCGCAGGCGGUUUUGAAAGUCAGAUGUGAAAUCCCCGAGCUCAACUUGGGAACUGCGUUUGAAACUCCAAAGCUAGGGUAUAGGAGAGGGGGGUAGAAUUCCACGUGUAGCAGUGAAAUGCGUAGAGAUGUGGAGGAAUACCGAUGGCGAAGGCAGCCCCCUGGGAUAACACUGACGCUCAUGCACGAAAGCGUGGGGAGCAAACAGGAUUAGAUACCCCCGUAGUCC